rnacentral:rRNA from 1 species
GGUGAGGCCUCUGGGCUGUAAACCUCUUUUAUCAAGGAAGAAGAUCUGACGGUACUUGAUGAAUAAGCCACGGCUAAUUCCGUGCCAGCAGCCGCGGUAAUACGGGAGUGGCAAGCGUUAUCCGGAAUUAUUGGGCGUAAAGCGUCCGCAGGCGGCCCUUCAAGUCUGCUGUUAAAAAGUGGAGCUUAACUCCAUCAUGGCAGUGGAAACUGUUGGGCUUGAGUGUGGUAGGGGCAGAGGGAAUUCCCGGUGUAGCGGUGAAAUGCGUAGAUAUCGGGAAGAACACCAGUGGCGAAGGCGCUCUGCUGGGCCAUCACUGACGCUCAUGGACGAAAGCCAGGGGAGCGAAAGGGAUUAGAUACCCCUGUAGUCCUGGCCGUAAACGAUGAACACUAGGUGUCGGGGGAAUCGACCCCCUCGGUGUCGUAGCCAACGCGUUAAGUGUUCCGCCUGGGGAGUACGCACGCAAGUGUGAAACUCAAAGGAAUUGACGGGGGCCCGCACAAGCGGUGGAGUAUGUGGUUUAAUUCGAUGCAACGCGAAGAACCUUACCAGGGUUUGACAUCCUGCGAAUCUCUUGGAAACAGGAGAGUGCCUUCGGGAACGCAGUGACAGGUGGUGCAUGGCUGUCGUCAGCUCGUGUCGUGAGAUGUUGGGUUAAGUCCCGCAACGAGCGCAACCCACGUCUUUAGUUGCCAGCAUUUAGUUGGGCACUCUAGAGAGACUGCCGGUGAUAAACCGGAGGAAGGUGUGGAUGACGUCAAGUCAUCAUGCCCCUUACAUCCUGGGCUACACACGUACUACAAUGCUACGGACAAAGGGCAGCAAGUUCGCGAGGACAAGCAAAUCCCAUAAACCGUGGCUCAGUUCAGAUCGUACGCUGCAACUCGCCUACGUGAAAGGCGGAAUCGCUAGUAAUCGCAGUCAGCAUACUGCGGUGAAUACGUUCCCGGGCCUUGUACACACCGCCCGUCACACCAUGGAAGUUGGCCACGCCCGAAGCCGUUACUCCAACCCUUGUGGAGGAGGACGUCGAAGGUGGGGCUGAUGACUGGGGUGAAGUCGUAACAAGGUAUCCGUACCGGAAGGUGCGGAUGGAUCACCUCCUAA